GAACCUACGGGAGGCAGCAGUGGGGAAUAUUGCACAAUGGGGGGAACCCUGAUGCAGCGACGCCGCGUGGGCGAUGGAGUAUUGCGGUAUGUAAAGCCCUAUCGGCAGGGAAGAAGCUGACAGUACCUGACUAAGAAGCCCCGGCUAACUACGUGCCAGCAGCCGCGGUAAUACGUAGGGGGCAAGCGUUAUCCGGAUUCACUGGGCGUAAAGGGAGCGCAGGCGGCACGGCAAGGCUGGUGUGAAAACCCGGGGCCUAACCCCGGGAGGGCAUUGGGAAAUGCCG
rnacentral:rRNA from 1 species